rnacentral:rRNA from 1 species
UACGUAGGUGGCAAGCGUUGUCCGGAUUUACUGGGCGUAAAGAGCGCGCAGGCGGUCGUACAAGUCGCGUGUGAAAGCCCCCGGCUCAACUGGGGAGGGUCACGCGAUACUGUUCGACUCGAAGGCAGGAGAGGGAAGCGGAAUUCCCGGUGUAGAGGUGAAAUUCGUAGAUAUCGGGAGGAACACCGGUGGCGAAGGCGGCGACCUGGGUAGAUACUGACGCUGAGGUGCGAAAGCGUGGGGAGCAAACAGG